GAGGGUAUGAAAGAGCUUCCUUCAGUCCACUCAUGGAUGGUUGUGGGGUUUGAAUUCGCUGCCGACUCAUUCAAUCAAACACUCGGUAGAAACAACAAUUCAAGCACGCUCAGUAGAAUCGAUGGAAUUGAUCCUCUAUUGAAGGCACGCACAAAAGUGGAACCAGACCUCAGUUACUGAGUGAAUGAGUGAAUGAUGCGGGAGAUUAUUCUCUCCUUCUCAUUCCAUGCUUGGACUGAAGGGAGCUCCCUCUUUCUCUUCU
rfam:Ananas comosus cultivar MD2 ACMD2_Scaffold_6265, whole genome shotgun sequence.